rnacentral:rRNA from 1 species
GGGUGCGAUCAUACCCGCGUUAAUGCACUGGAUCCCAUAAGAACUCCGCAGUUAAGCGUGCUUGGGAUAGAAUAGUACUGGGAUGGGUGACCUCCCAGGAAGUCCUAGUGUUGCACCCU